AGUAACGCGUGAGGAACCUGCCUCAGAGAGGGGGAUAACACACCGAAAGGUGUGCUAAUACCGCAUAACAUAUGAGAGGGGCAUCCCUUUUAUAUCAAAGAUUUAUUGCUCUGAGAUGGCCUCGCGUCCAAUUAGCUAGUUGGUGAGGUAACGGCCCACCAAGGCGACGAUUGGUAGCCGGACUGAGAGGUUGAACGGCCACAUUGGGACUGAGACACGGCCCAGACUCCUACGGAAGGCAGCAG
rnacentral:rRNA from 1 species